UGGCUCAGUUGGUAGAGCAUGGUGCUUGCCAACACCAGAGUUGUGGGUUUGAUUCCCAU
rnacentral:tRNA from 1 species